CAGCCCCUGUCCUGGCUUUCCCCAGGCAGGGAGCAAACCAACCCUAUCCGACAGCCUUCAGCAUCGGGUGAAACAGCAGAGUUCAUAUGAAUGGAACCUAAUCUCACAGAAAUGUACAUGUGCAAUACUCAGUUCCCACAAAAUGCUCUGUUCUUACAAAAUACAUGAAGGGGAUGCAAGCAGUGGUGAGUCAAGGUGGCUUAACCAGUGGAUCUUGCAGACUGUUCAUCCAAAAGGGAUUGUUUCUUGCUCCAAGCAAGUGAAAAAACCAAAGAUGAACACAUUGGCUGACAUCCAGACUAAACUACCCAUGAGUUUAGCCCUUUGGCCGACUAAGGAGCAAUGUCAGUCAUAAUUUCCCCUCAUCACUCAGCUGAUUUUGGAUAGUUCUUUUCUCUACAUACUGUAUGUCUUAAAGAAAACCAAGCACAAAGUUGGCACACAGAAAUUCCGGACCUCCCAAUUCAGUUCCAUAAGUUACUUGGGACAGAUUCAUGUCUGAAGCCUACAUCUGAGAGCAAGAGAUUUUACUUCGAUCUAGGAAGAGGACAACAACUGCAUUAAAAAAUUGAAAGUAACAAUCAGGAGAAACAGUCCCAAAUAAAGGAGAUACAAAAC